AGAGUUUGAUUCUGGCUCAGAGUGAACGCUGGCGGCGUGCUUAACACAUGCAAGUCGAACGGUAACAGGUCUUUCGGGAUGCUGACGAGUGGCGAACGGGUGAGUAAUACAUCGGAACGUGCCUAGUAGUGGGGGAUAACUACUCGAAAGAGUGGCUAAUACCGCAUGAGAUCUAUGGAUGAAAGCAGGGGACCUUCGGGCCUUGUGCUACUAGAGCGGCCGAUGGCAGAUUAGGUAGUUGGUGGGAUAAAAGCUUACCAAGCCGACGAUCUGUAGCUGGUCUGAGAGGACGAUCAGCCACACUGGGACUGAGACACGGCCCAGACUCCUACGGGAGGCAGCAGUGGGGAAUUUUGGACAAUGGGGGAAACCCUGAUCCAGCAAUGCCGCGUGCAGGAUGAAGGCCUUCGGGUUGUAAACUGCUUUUGUACGGAACGAAAAGUCUUGGGCUAAUACCCUGGGAUCAUGACGGUACCGUAAGAAUAAGCACCGGCUAACUCCGUGCCAGCAGCCGCGGUAAU
rnacentral:rRNA from 1 species